rnacentral:rRNA from 1 species
CCUACGGGUGGCAGCAGUGAGGAAUAUUGGUCAAUGGGCGGAAGCCUGAACCAGCCACGUAGCGUGCGGGAUGAAGGCCCUACGGGUCGUAAACCGCUUUUGCACGGGGAUAACACCCUCCACUUGUGGAGGUCUGCAGGUACCGCGCGAAUACGGGCGGGGAAAUUCCGUGCCAGCAGCAGCGGUAAUACGGAAGUCCCGAGCGUUAACCGGAUUCAUUGGGCUUAAAGGGUGCGUAGGCGGGCGUUCAAGUCAGCGGUAAAAGCGCGCGGCGCAACCGCCCCCCGCAGUUGAAACUGGACGCCUUGAGUGCACAACAGGCAGGCGGAAUUCGUGGUGUAGCGGUGAAAUGCAUAGAUAUCACGAGGAACCCCGAUUGCGAAGGCAGCCUGCCGGGGUGCGACUGACGCUGAGGCUCGAAGGUGCGGGUAUCAAACAGGAUUAGAUACCCGUGUAGUC